AAGUGAUUUUAUGUUUUCCUUUUUGUCUUUAAAGAUUUUAAUAUCACUGACAGGCUCUAAGCCAUGAAAGAUUUAUUUAUGAAAAAUGACGAGUGACUAUAAUGUUAGAAAAAUAAAUCCCAAAUUCAAAGCAAGUACUCGAAUGAAGAAGAAAGAGCUCCUUCAGCGUGAGGAAGCGUGAUUCUCCUCCACACAAUCCCCUUCCAAAGGUCUAAUAAGGAGAACACACAGCAAAGAACAUGGUGAAAGCAACACAAGAAACAGAAUAGAAGUGCAGAUGGCUGAAGUCUUGACAACUACGAAAAGAAUGGAUCAAAUGCUCCUGAGAAGUUUCCAAUGAACUCAGCAACAUUGGGACCAAGGUGGCCCUGAAAUAACAGAGUCAAUGUGGGGCUAGAGAUUCUGUGCAAGGGGCCAAGAAGUAGCCACAAC
ensembl:lincRNA